rnacentral:rRNA from 1 species
CCUACGGGAGGCAGCAGUGGGGAAUAUUGCACAAUGGGGGAAACCCUGAUGCAGCGACGCCGCGUGAGUGAAGAAGUAUUUCGGUAUGUAAAGCUCUAUCAGCAGGGAAGAAAAUGACGGUACCUGAAUAAGAAGCCCCGGCUAACUAAGUGCCAGCAGCCGCGGUAAUACGGAGGGGGCAAGCGUUAUCCGGAUUUACUGGGUGUAAAGGGAGCGUAGACGGUAGAGCAAGUCUGAAGUGAAAGCCCGCGGCUCAACUGCGGGACUGCUUUGGAAACUGUUUAACUAGAGUGCUGGAGAGGUAAGCGGAAUUCCUAGUGUAGCGGUGAAAUGCGUAGAUAUUAGGAGGAACACCAGUGGCGAAGGCGGCUUACUGGACAGUAACUGACGUUGAGGCUCGAAAGCGUGGGGAGCAAACAGGAUUAGAUACCCUGGUAGUC